rnacentral:rRNA from 1 species
AGUGAACGCUGGCGGUAGGCCUAACACAUGCAAGUCGAACGGCAGCACAGGAGAGCUUGCUCUCUGGGUGGCGAGUGGCGGACGGGUGAGGAAUACAUCGGAAUCUACUCUGUCGUGGGGGAUAACGUAGGGAAACUUACGCUAAUACCGCAUACGAUCUACGGGUGAAAGCAGGGGACCUUCGGGCCUUGCGCGAUUGAAUGAGCCGAUGUCGGAUUAGCUAGUUGGCGGGGUAAAGGCCCACCAAGGCGACGAUCCGUAGCUGGUCGCGAACGAUGAUCAUCCACACUGGAACUGAGACACGGUCCAGACUCCUACGGGAGGCAGCAAUGGGGAAGAUUGGACAAUGGGCGCAAGCCUGAUCCAGCCAUACCGCGUGGGUGAAGAAGGCCUUCGGGUUGUAAAGCCCUUUUGUUGGGAAAGAAAUCCGGCUGGCUAAUACCCGGUUGGGAUGACGGUACCCAAAGAAUAAGCACCGGCUAACUUCGUGCCAGCAGCCGCCGUAA